rnacentral:sRNA from 1 species
ACAUUGAUGAGUGUGGCACAGAGGGAGCCAACUGUGGAGCUGACCAAUUCUGCGUGAACACUGAGGGCUCCUAUGAGUGCCGAGACUGUGCCAAGGCCUGCCUAGGCUGCAUGGGGGCAGGGCCAGGUCGCUGUAAGAAGUGUAGCCCUGGCUAUCAGCAGGUGGGCUCCAAGUGUCUCGGUGAGUCUCCUGCUGAUGGGACACAGGCACCUGGGAGUGCCUCACCCAGCAUGAAUGGUGAAGAGGCUGGAAUAUGGGCAGGUGGGGGAAGGAAGGGUGGAAUGUUGCCUGGGCAAGGGCAGAGGGGAGUGUUGAGAGAUGGACAAGAUGGAGUCAGGGUGCUGGGUAGGGGGCCCUAGCAGGACUCUGACCCCUCCCUCCCCUCAAGAUGUGGAUGAGUGUGAGACAGAGGUGUGUCCGGGAGAGAACAAGCAGUGUGAAAACACCGAGGGCGGUUAUCGCUGCAUCUGUGCCGAGGGCUACAAGCAGAUGGAAGGCAUCUGUGUGAAGGAGCAGAUCCCAGAGUCAGCGGGCUUCUUCUCCGAGAUGACAGAGGACGAGUUGGUGGUGCUGCAGCAGAUGUUCUUUGGCAUCAUCAUCUGUGCACUGGCCACGCUGGCUGCUAAGGGCGACUUGGUGUUCACCGCCAUCUUCAUUGGGGCUGUGGCGGCCAUGACUGGCUACUGGUUG